AGCGCCUUGUUGAACCACCCGAAGUGAAACACGAACGUUUAUUUGUAGUGUCUGUACUUGGAUUUUUAGUCAAUCUUGUCGGUAUAUUUGCAUUUCAUCAUGGUCACUCUCAUGGAGGCGGUGGUCAUGACCAUGCACACAGCGCUAGCAAUGGAGGUUUUAUAAUAGGUCAUGGUCAUUCACAUGGACAUAGCCAUGAUAGCGGGCAUGGACAUAGCCAUGAUAGUGGGCAUGGACAUGAACACAAAAGCGACCACGGCCAUGGACAUGGACAUUCACAUGGACACUCGCAUCACGAAGAUGAUACUCUUCCCCAGGCACAUAAAGGACCCAAAACUCAGAUUUUACAAGG